rnacentral:rRNA from 1 species
UACGUAGGAUGCAAGCGUUGUCCGGAAUUAUUGGGCGUAAAGCGAACGUAGGCGGCCAGACAGGUCCGUUGUGAAAACUCGAGGCUCAACCUCGAGACGCCGAUGGAAACCGUCUGGCUAGAGUCCGGAAGAGGAGAGUGGAAUUCCCGGUGUAGCGGUGAAAUGCGCAGAUAUCGGGAAGAACACCCGUGGCUAAGGCGGCUCUCUAGUACGGUACUGACGCUGAGACGCGAAAGCGUGGGGAGCGAACAGG